AAUAAAGUUCAAUGUGUGAAGCCCAAGUUAUAUGAUUUUAAUCUAUAAAAUGACAAAUCAAAGCUUCGAAGGAUAUGAUUUUAAAGCUAUAAAAUGGAGAUCAAGAGGUCAAAAGGACACCAAAAAGACCCAAAAAAACACGAAAAAUACUUCUAAAAAUUCGAAGGCUCUUAACUUGAAAUCUUCCUCUGUUUUCCUUCUACUUUCUUCUCCCUUUUUCCCUCGAUCAGCCGCUGCCCCAGUGCACCGGCCAUCCGUCAUUGCCUAGACCCCCGGCGCCUGUUCCAAAUCAUCGUUGCCCAGUUAGCCGGCCAUUGUUUCGCCGCUGUACCCGCCAGGCCGCCUAUUGCCCUGCUUCGCCGCGCCACAGUUGCUCCUGAUCCAGCCGGCCACCGCUGGUUCGUCAGCUCGUCAUCUUUGCCACCGCGCUACUUCGCCACUGCUACUGCCCGCCGCCAAUCCGCCCAGCCGACUAUCCCUGCUUCAAGCCGCCCAGCUCAUUAUUUUUCGGUAACUAUUCGGAGUUCUCGUUGCCAGAAACUGAAGCACUUUGAAUUAUGGGACGACCAAACAUGCCAGUACAAAUAACCAAAGGAAACAGAGAAUAAAAUUUUCUGGAGAAGUUUUUAUAUUUUUUUCCGUAAUUUAUUAUUAUUAUGAAUUGGGUUUCGAUUUUAAAAAUAUUUUUUUACCUUUUAAAAUAUCAAUUUUAAUCCUUAAAGAAAGAAAAAAUUUCAAAAUUUGAAAUUGCAAAAGUGUCUAGCAAAUCCUUUUAUUUCGCACAUAGUCACUAAUUCUAAAAUUCAUUUUUAGUAGAAUUAUUUAUUGUAUUCCACAGACAUCUAUGUAUGUGCUGUAUGCUCUUUAUGGUUGAUGAAAGAUUAGAUGUAUGAUUUAACGAAUAAUUUAAGAUAUUAUUAUGUAUAUUUUUAUGCUUAAUUCUGAAUAUGUUUAUGUAUAAUUUCAUGUGUGAUUUAAAAAAUAUAUGGACGCCUAAUUGUACGAUUAUUUCCUUUAAUGAUGCAUGAUAUGUGUAUGAAUUUGUAUAUUUUUGCAAUUGAUUGUAAAAAUGGUUAAGUUAAAAUACAUUCAUUAAGCUUA